GACGAACGCUGGCGGCGUGCUUAACACAUGCAAGUCGAACGGAAAGGCCCUGCUUUUGUGGGGUGCUCGAGUGGCGAACGGGUGAGUAACACGUGAGUAACCUGCCCUUGACUUUGGGAUAACUUCAGGAAACUGGGGCUAAUACCGGAUAGGAGCUCCUGCUGCAUGGUGGGGGUUGGAAAGUUUCGGCGGUUGGGGAUGGACUCGCGGCUUAUCAGCUUGUUGGUGGGGUAGUGGCUUACCAAGGCUUUGACGGGUAGCCGGCCGGAGAGGGUGACCGGCCACAUUGGGACUGAGAUGCGGCCCAGACUCCUACGGGAGGCAGCAGUGGGGAAUAUUGCACAAUGGGCGGAAGCCUGAUGCAGCAACGCCGCGUGCGGGAUGACGGCCUUCGGGUUGUAGACCGCUUUCGCCUGUGACGAAGCGUGAGUGACGGUAAUGGGUAAAGAAGCACCGGCUAACUACGUG
rnacentral:rRNA from 1 species